UACGUAGGGGGGCUAGCGUUGUCCGGAAUCAUUGGGCGUAAAGCGCGUGUAGGCGGUCCGGUAAGUCCGCUGUGAAAGUCGGGGGCUCAACCUCGGAUGCCGGUGGAUACUGUCGGGCUUGAGUACGGAAGAGGCGAGUGGAAUUCCUGGGUGUAGCGGUGGAAAUGCGCAGGAGUAUCAGGAAGAACACCAAUGCGAAGGCAGCUCUCG
rnacentral:rRNA from 1 species